rnacentral:rRNA from 1 species
AUUGAACGCUGGCGGAAUGCUUUACACAUGCAAGUCGAACGGCAGCACGGACUUCGGUCUGGUGGCGAGUGGCGAACGGGUGAGUAAUGUAUCGGAACGUGCCCAGUCGUGGGGGAUAACGUAGUGAAAAUUACGCUAAUACCGCAUACGAUCUAUGGAUGAAAGAGGGGGAUCGCAAGACCGAGCUCGAUUGGAGCGGCCGAUAUCAGAUUAGGCGGUUUGUGGGGUAAAGGCCCACCAAGCAAACGAUCUGUAGCUGGUCUGAGAGGACGAACAGCCAAACGGGAACUGAGACACGGUCCAGACUCCUACGGGAGGCAGCAGUGGGGAAUUUUGGACAAUGGGCGAAAGCCUGAUCCAGCCAUUCCGCGUGCAGGAUGAAGGCCCUCGGGUUGUAAACUGCUUUUGUACAGAACGAAAAGGUUUCUACUAAUACUAGGAGCUCAUGACGGUACUGUAAGAAUAAGCACCGGCUAACUACGUGCCAGCCGCCGCCGUAA